GGGUUGUGAGGUUAAGCGACUAAGCGUACACGGUGGAUGCCCUGGCAGUCAGAGGCGAUGAAGGACGUGCUAAUCUGCGAAAAGCGUCGGUAAGGUGAUAUGAACCGUUACAGCCGGCGAUGUCCGAAUGGGGAAACCCAGUGUGAUUCGUCACACUAUCGUUAACUGAAUACAUAGGUUAACGAGGCGAACCGGGGGAACUGAAACAUCUAAGUACCCCGAGGAAAAGAAAUCAACCGAGAUUCCCCCAGUAGCGGCGAGCGAACGGGGAGCAGCCCAGAGUCUGAAUCAGCUUGUGUGUUAGUGGAACGGUCUGGAAAGUCCGACGGUACAGGGUGAUAGUCCCGUACACCAAAAUGCACAGGCUGUGAACUCGAAGAGUAGGGCGGGACACGUGGUAUCCUGUCUGAAUAUGGGGGGACCAUCCUCCAAGGCUAAAUACUCCUGACUGACCGAUAGUGAACCAGUACCGUGAGGGAAAGGCGAAAAGAACCCCGGCGAGGGGAGUGAAAAAGAACCUGAAACCGUGUACGUACAAGCAGUGGGAGCACCUUCGGGUGUGACUGCGUACCUUUUGUAUAAUGGGUCAGCGACUUAUAUUCUGUAGCAAGGUUAACCGUAUAGGGGAGCCGCAGGGAAACCGAGUCUUAACUGGGCGUUAAGUUGCAGGGUAUAGACCCGAAACCCGGUGAUCUAGCCAUGGGCAGGUUGAAGGUUGGGUAACACUAACUGGAGGACCGAACCGACUAAUGUUGAAAAAUUAGCGGAUGACUUGUGGCUGGGGGUGAAAGGCCAAUCAAACCGGGAGAUAGCUGGUUCUCCCCGAAAGCUAUUUAGGUAGCGCCUCGUGAAUUCAUCUUCGGGGGUAGAGCACUGUUUCGGCUAGGGGGUCAUCCCGACUUACCAACCCGAUGCAAACUACGAAUACCGAAGAAUGUUAUCACGGGAGACACACGGCGGGUGCUAACGUCCGUCGUGAAGAGGGAAACAACCCAGACCGCCAGCUAAGGUCCCAAAGUCAUGGUUAAGUGGGAAACGAUGUGGGAAGGCACAGACAGCCAGGAUGUUGGCUUAGAAGCAGCCAUCAUUUAAAGAAAGCGUAAUAGCUCACUGGUCGAGUCGGCCUGCGCGGAAGAUGUAACGGGGCUAAACCAUGCACCGAAGCUGCGGCAGCGACACUAUGUGUUGUUGGGUAGGGGAGCGUUCUGUAAGCCUGCGAAGGUGACCUGUGAGGGUUGCUGGAGGUAUCAGAAGUGCGAAUGCUGACAUAAGUAACGAUAAAGCGGGUGAAAAGCCCGCUCGCCGGAAGACCAAGGGUUCCUGUCCAACGUUAAUCGGGGCAGGGUGAGUCGACCCCUAAGGCGAGGCCGAAAGGCGUAGUCGAUGGGAAACAGGUUAAUAUUCCUGUACUUGGUGUUACUGCGAAGGGGGACGGAGAAGGCUAUGUUAGCCGGGCGACGGUUGUCCCGGUUUAAGCAUGUAGGCUGGUUAUCCAGGCAAAUCCGGAUAAUCAAGGCUGAGGUGUGAUGACGAGGCACUACGGUGCUGAAGUAACAAAUGCCCUGCUUCCAGGAAAAGCCUCUAAGCAUCAGGUAACAUCAAAUCGUACCCCAAACCGACACAGGUGGUCAGGUAGAGAAUACCAAGGCGCUUGAGAGAACUCGGGUGAAGGAACUAGGCAAAAUGGUGCCGUAACUUCGGGAGAAGGCACGCUGGUGUGUAGGUGAAGUCCCUGCGGAUGGAGCUGAGACCAGUCGAAGAUACCAGCUGGCUGCAACUGUUUAUUAAAAACACAGCACUGUGCAAACACGAAAGUGGACGUAUACGGUGUGACGCCUGCCCGGUGCCGGAAGGUUAAUUGAUGGGGUUAUCCGUAAGGAGAAGCUCUUGAUCGAAGCCCCGGUAAACGGCGGCCGUAACUAUAACGGUCCUAAGGUAGCGAAAUUCCUUGUCGGGUAAGUUCCGACCUGCACGAAUGGCGUAAUGAUGGCCAGGCUGUCUCCACCCGAGACUCAGUGAAAUUGAACUCGCUGUGAAGAUGCAGUGUACCCGCGGCAAGACGGAAAGACCCCGUGAACCUUUACUAUAGCUUGACACUGAACAUUGAGCCUUGAUGUGUAGGAUAGGUGGGAGGCUUUGAAGCGUGGACGCCAGUCUGCGUGGAGCCAACCUUGAAAUACCACCCUUUAAUGUUUGAUGUUCUAACGUUGGCCCCUUACCGGGGUUGCGGACAGUGUCUGGUGGGUAGUUUGACUGGGGCGGUCUCCUCCCAAAGCGUAACGGAGGAGCACGAAGGUUAGCUAAUCCUGGUCGGACAUCAGGAGGUUAGUGCAAUGGCAUAAGCUAGCUUGACUGCGAGCGUGACGGCGCGAGCAGGUGCGAAAGCAGGUCAUAGUGAUCCGGUGGUUCUGAAUGGAAGGGCCAUCGCUCAACGGAUAAAAGGUACUCCGGGGAUAACAGGCUGAUACCGCCCAAGAGUUCAUAUCGACGGCGGUGUUUGGCACCUCGAUGUCGGCUCAUCACAUCCUGGGGCUGAAGUAGGUCCCAAGGGUAUGGCUGUUCGCCAUUUAAAGUGGUACGCGAGCUGGGUUUAGAACGUCGUGAGACAGUUCGGUCCCUAUCUGCCGUGGGCGCUGGAGAAUUGAGGGGGGCUGCUCCUAGUACGAGAGGACCGGAGUGGACGCAUCACUGGUGUUCGGGUUGUCAUGCCAAUGGCACUGCCCGGUAGCUAAAUGCGGAAGAGAUAAGUGCUGAAAGCAUCUAAGCACGAAACUUGCCCCGAGAUGAGUUCUCCCUGAGACUUUAAGUCUCCUGAAGGAACGUUAAAGACGAUGACGUUGAUAGGCCGGGUGUGUAAGCGCAGCGAUGCGUUGAGCUAACCGGUACUAAUGAACCGUGAGGCUUAACCUUACAACGCCGAAG
rnacentral:rRNA from 1 species